GGGGGUGACUUUGGAUUUGAUGGAAGGAAUCCGUGCAUAUUGAUAGCCACUGCUGGAUGGUUCUUCAGCUAAAAUAUGAACCAAAACCAAAAUGCUAACGCAUGAAAAUCUCUCCUUGCGAGAGCUGAACUAGUAAAAGCUUACGCUUAGUCUAGCCAGCAACUAACCUCUUUGUGGACUCCUACUAUACAAGAGGUCGAUCUAAGUAGGAAACUUAUAGUUGUCUCUCAGUAUAAGAAAAAAGUUGGUAUUCAGACUUCUCUUUCCUUGGUAGAUAACUUAAAAAAAUUAGGUUGAAAGGAUACUAUAGUGGUAGAAAUUGGUAUACAUGCCUUUUAGACCGGAGUUCGAUUCUCCGCACCUCCAAAA
rnacentral:tmRNA from 1 species